rnacentral:rRNA from 1 species
UACGUAGGGUGCAAGCGUUGUCCGGAAUUAUUGGGCGUAAAGAGCUCGUAGGCGGUUUGUCGCGUCGAAUGUGAAAUCCCGGGGCUCAGCUCCGGGUCUGCAUUCGAUACGGGCAGACUAGAGUUCGGUAGGGGAGUCUGGAAUUCCUGGUGUAGCGGUGAAAUGCGCAGAUAUCAGGAGGAACACCGGUGGCGAAGGCGGGUCUCUGGGCAACAACUGACGCUGAGGAGCGAAAGCGUGGGGAGCGAACAGG